rnacentral:lncRNA from 1 species
AAUCAUGCAUAUCACAUAUCACAAUAAAUCACAACACAUAAAUAACAUGCAAAUACACUUGCAUAUAACUCUAUAGUACUCUGUCACAUAUCUCUGUUACCACACUAGGUAAAGUAUGGUGAGAAGACUCACCUCAGGCAUCUCGGUAAAUCUCUGACUCGGUGGAAAAUAUUUCCUAGCCUCCGCCUAUUCACAUAAAUAAAUACUCUUAUAAAUAUAACCCUCGAGACUAGACUCAACCUGCCAUUGGCACCCUCAGAAGGGUAAAAGACUAUUUUACCCCCCUCUUGACACAAGUACUCCAUUGUUGACCAAACCCUAAAAGUCAACAAAAGUCAACGGUCACACUUUGACCCUACUCGCCGAGUGCACUCUGGUGACUCGGCGAGUUCACACAUGUUCUCUAACACUUUGUCCCGCUUGGCACGCCGAGUCCCUCCCUAUGCUCGACGAGUCAUACCAGGCAUGAAUCGCGGGGCCACCCCGACUCAACUCGCCGAGUCUCAAGAACAACUCGGCGAGUACCGCCUAGAACUCCAGUCCUCUAACCCCCUCCUGACUCACUGAGUCCUCCCCCAACUCGGCAAGUCUACUCACUGAGCAAUUUAUGUGAAACCCUAACCCUACUCGCCGAGUCUCAAGAACAACUUGGCAAGUUCAUGCCAUGCACAAUCUCUACUGACCUCCUGAGGUCAAGUCUGUUUCCCCAAACCAUAGAUCUGGCCUCCCCAAGCAUGAAUGUCACGUAAAGUCCGAAACUUGAUGCUUGUAUAACCACAACAAGGCAUCAAAAGGAGAUUUAGUCCCAAAAAUGGCAACCUAAGUCCAAUAACCCCAAACUGAUCCAUAAAGCUCCAAGGGUUAAGGUCUCUGGACCUCUUUGAGUCCAGAUCCAAGGCACAAACUCGAAGAGGGACCAUUUGCUCCACAUAAUCACUCUCCAAAGGGGUUAGAAAACCCUAACUCUAAUGAUCAACACCAAAACUGAAGGAGGUUCGAACUAUUAUCUCAAAAUGAAGUCUGUGAACUCUGGAACUGCUAGGAUCACACCUCCACUUUGCUCUUGGUCACCUCCUUCUUGCUAAACCAAAGGUACAAGGAUCAAAAGUGAUUUCUUCUUCCUCACAACGAUUUGGCUCACUUAGGGUUCUCUCAAGGGACUGGUAGCCGCAAUGGGAGGCUAUAAGUGCCCUUAAAUAGGCUCCAAACCCGGGGGAUUAGGGUUUCAUUAAACAGCGUGGACUCGCCGAGUCCGGACGUGAACCCGGAUGAACAUCCGCGACCCUACUCGGCGAGUCUUGGCUCCAACUCGCCGAGUUCCUCCACAAACUCCAAAAUAAUUAAAUAAAAUAAUAUACCUGGGAAAUCAGGAUGUUACAAUUCUCCCCCGCUAGAAUCAGACUUCGCCCUCGAAGUCUCACUCUGGAAACAACUCCGGAUGUUGCUCAUGCAUCUCACGCUCCGGCUCCCAAGUAAGCUCUGACCCUUUCCGGUGUUGCCACUGGACCUGCACCAGAGGCACCUCUUUGUUCCUCAGAACCUUGAUCUUUCGAUCUCGAAUAGCCACCGGUCUCUCAACGUAGUUCAGGCCCACAUCCACCUGAAUAUCCUCUAAUGGCACUACUGCCGACUCAUCGGCUAUACACUUUCGCAACGGUGACACAUGGAAAGUAUCAUGAAUCUGACCGAGCUCUGUAGGUAGUUCCAACCAGUAGGCUACCCUCCCUACCUUCGUGAUCACCUGAAAAGGACCGAUAUAUUGGGGCCCCAACUUGCCCCUCUUCCUGAAUCGGAUCACUCCUUUCCAAGGAGAGACCCUCAGGAGUACAAAGUCGCUGACCUGGAACUCGAGCUCGGACCGGCGCCUGUCCGCAUAACUCUUCUGACGACUCUGAGCGGUCAAUAACCUAUGCCUGACCUGCUGUAUCUGCUCAGUCGUCUGAAGCACGAUCUCGGUAAUACACAUAACACGCUGCCCGACCUCUCCCCAGCAAAUGGGGGUCCAACACCUUCUCCCAUACAACAGCUCAAAGGGUGGCAUACCAAUGCUCGAAUGAUGGUUGUUGUUGUAGGAAAACUCUGCCAAGGGAAAAUACGUGUCCCAACUCCCGCCGAAAUCCAACACACAUGCCCGGAGCAUAUCCUCGAGCGUCUGAAUCGUCCGCUCGCUCUGUCCGUCAGUCUGAGGGUAGUAUGCGGUACUAAAAUGCAGCCUAGUACCCAAUUCCUCAUGAAAUUUCUUCCAGAAUCUGGAAGUGAAAUGCACAUCUCGAUCUGAGACAAUCGAGAUCGGCACCCCAUGUCGUGAUACCACUUCCCUCGCGUACAUCUCUGCCAACUUCUCAGCAGAAGAGCUCUCACUGAUAGCAAGGAAGUGGGCGCUCUUUGUCAACCUGUCCAUAAUCACCCAAAUUGCAUCGACUCCCCUAGCAGUCCUUGGCAAUUUUGUGAUAAAAUACAUGGUAAUCUGUUCCCACUUCCACUCAGGAACCUUCAAUGGCUGCAACUUACCAUGCGGUCUCUGGUGCUCGACCUUAACCCUACGACAGGUUAAGAACCUCUCAACAAACCACGCAACAUCCCUCUUCAUACAGGGCCACCAAUACUCCCUCUUCAGGUCUAAAUACAUCUUAGUGGCCCCAGGAUGGAUCGAGAACAUCGACCGAUGAGCCUCUUCCAUCAAAAUGGUACGCGUCCCGCCCACAAACGGUACCCAGAUACGACCCUGAAAUGUCAUAAGCCCCCGGCUAUCGGUAACGAACUCCGAUACCAACCCGACAACUCGCUCUCUCUUAUGGUUUUCUGAUCUCACGGCCUCAGUCUGGGCCCCACGAAUGGUGUCCAACACCGGAGUCAUCACUGUCAAUCUCAAACAAACAUCUCGCAUCAGGGCGCUCUCCACCCUUCGGCUCAGAGCAUCGGCUACAACAUUAUCCUUACCACAUCCAACCAUCUCCUCUGGCGCAUAUUCAGGUUGGGCUGAUCCANACAUAUUCAGGUUGGGCUGAUCCAUCAAGUACUUCAGGCUCUUGUGAUCCGUGUAUAUGGUACACCGGACCCCAUAUAGAUAGUGACGCCAGAUCUUGAAGGCGAACACUACUGCCCCCAACUCUAAAUCAUGGGUAGGAUACCUCGCCUCAUGAGGCUUCAGUUGCCUCGAUGCAUACGCUAUCACAUGGCCUCUCUGCAUAAGCACUGCUCCCAACCUUGAUAUCGACGCGUCACAAUAUACCACAAAAUCCUCCAUUCCCUCCGGAAGGGAUAACACCGGGGCUUUGCAUAAUCUUUGGCCAAGUGUCUCGAAGGAGGCCUGCUGCUCUGGACCCCAAGCAAAAACUACACCCUUCUGGGUCAACUUAGUGAGUGGCGUAGCGAUCUUGGAGAAAUCCCUGAUGAAUCUCCGAUAAUAGCCUGCCAGUCCUAGAAAACUCCUGAUCUCCGUGGGUGACCUCGGCACCUCCCAACUCAUCACUGCCUCAAUUUUGGCCGAGUCGACCAAUAUCCCUUUCUGGUUAACAAGGUACCCUAGGAACUGGACCUCUCGCAACCAAAAAUCACACUUGGAGAAUUUGGCAUAAAGCCUCUCCAAUCUUAGAACUCCGAGGAUCUCCCUCAAAUGUUCCUUAUGCUGCUCUCUAGAUCUCGAAUACACCAAAAUGUUGUCGAUGAAUACGAUCAUCGAGCGAUCCAACAUCUGCCUGCACACUCUGUUCAUGAGAUCUAUGAACACUGUCGGGGCAUUGGUGAGUCCGAAAGGCAUCACCACAAACUCGUAAUGCCCAUAACGAGUCCUGAACGCUGUCUUCUGGAUGUCCUCAUCUCGCACCCUUACCUGAUGAUACCCGGACCUCAAAUCGAUCUUGGAGAACCAAGAUGCUCCCUGCAACUGAUCGAACAAAUCGUCGAUCCUCGGCAACGGGUAACGGUUUUUUACCGUCAACUUGUUCAACUCCCGGUAAUCAAUGCACAUCUGGUGUGAACCGUCCUUUUUCUUGAUAAAAAGGAUAGGCNUCCUUCUUCUUGACAAAAAGGAUAGGCGCUCCCCACGGCGAUCUGCUCGGCCGAAUAAACCCCUUCCCCAGCAACUCCUGAAGCUGCGAGGAUAACUCCUGCAUCUCUGGAGGUGCAAGGCGAUAGGGCACCUUGGCGAUAGGUGCGGCCCCCGGAACCAAAUCGAUAUUGAACUCCACUUGCCUCACGGGAGGCACGCCCGAAAACUCCUCUGGAAAUACGUCCGGGAACUCACGCACUAUCGGAACCUCAUCAACUGACCUCGGUCUCUCUGAAUCAACCCACGUAUCCAUCACAUACACUACAAAGCCCUUACAUCCCUACUGUAGACACUGUCUCGCUCUAGCGGCCGAACAAAAUGCUGACCCAGAACGUGUACCCUCGUCGUACACAGUAAGAACUCCCCCACUAGGGUCUCGUACGGUCACCAGCUAUCGCUCGCAGUCGAUAACCACUCCGAAUCUGCUCAACCAGUCCAUGCCCACGAUGACACAGACAUCUCCCAUCGCAAUAGGAACUAAAUCAAUCGGGAACUCAACACCAAAAAUCUCGAGUACAUACCCUCGGAUCACCUCUGUGGCAUAUACCGCCCUCUCGUCAGCUAUGGAAACUCUCAGAGGUCGACUCAACGCCUCACGACUAACACCGAUGUGCUGACUAAAAUCCAAAGACACAAAAGACCGACUCGCAGCCGAGUCAAAUAACACCAAGGCAGGUACAAAACUCACAAGAAAAGUACCUACGCAUAACAUAAUAUAAGCACAAUAUCUCAACAUCAAAAUAAAUACACGAAAGAAUACAUACCAGCCACGACAUCGGGCGCUGCGCGGACCUCCUCCGCGGUCAACUAAAAGGCUCUCCCUCGUGCCUUCGGUGCCAUGGCCUUCACUGGCCGGCUCUUAGUAGCUCGGAUAGCAGCAGGGGCAGAUCCCUGAGAGGCUCCCGGUGCUGAUCCUCGCAGCUGCGGACACUCUGCCUUCCGGUGUCCGGUCUGGUUGUAGUGAAAACAUACUGCAAACCCCUUGGGGCAAUCCUUGGCUAUAUGCCCCUCCUUGCCACAUUUGUAGCAAGACCCUGCUCUGCACACCCCAUCGUGGCUCUUGCCGCACUUGCCACAAGUGCGGCCCCUCUGGUUCCCUGAUCUCGAAUCAGCGGGCUUGGCNNNNNNNNNNNNNNNNNNNNNNNNNNNNNNNNNNNNNNNNNNNNNNNNNNNNNNNNNNNNNNNNNNNNNNNNNNNNNNNNNNNNNNNNNNNNNNNNNNNNNNNNNNNNNNNNNNNNNNNNNNNNNNNNNNNNNNNNUGCCUACUCGGAGGACACGUGCUCUGGGCAGAACAUCACCCGCUCAUGAAACAUCCUCGUAAUCACCGUAACAGACUCAGUACCCUGCUUGAGGGUCAGAAACUCCUGGGCCAAACUCUCCCUCUCCACCUGGGGAGCGUACUCAUCUCGGAACAUAGCAGUGAACCUCUCCCAGGUCACUGCAGCAAGCUCAGCAGGCGUAUAGUGUGCCGUCACAAACUUCCACCAAUCUUUCGCUCCCAAGCGAAGCUGGUUCAGCGCGAACCGAACUCUCAAAUGCUCUGGAGAUGAGCAAGUAAAGAAACACCCCUCUAUGUCUGAAAUCCACCUUAUCGCCGCAAUCGGAUCCUGGGUCCCGUCAAACUCCAGUGGUUUUGUGUUGCUGAACUCUCGGAACAGCAACGCAUCACCACCCUGCGGCCUAGUCGCAGCUAUAGCUGCAGUGGCCGCAGCAACAGCAACCUCAGAAAGAGCAGCAUACUUCUCAUGAAAUGUCUCUAUCAGCGUGGUCUUGAUAGACCUGAACAUCUCUGGUAUCUCUGCCCUGAUGACCGCAGCCACCUCCUCCUGGAUGAUCCUACGGAUCUCCUCAUCACUCGUACCGUUGGUCCCUGGUGUGUGGCGCGUCCCAGCCAUGAUCUCCCUCUCUCUGAAAUACGACACAAGAAUAAAUAUCAGGUACUCGCUCGAGUAUGCUCACACUCGAAUACUCCACCCUACAUGUCCCUUGGUACUCCAAGGAUUCUUACUUGGACUGUGCAGACCCGGUGUCUUCAGUAGUACGGGCCCAAUACUACCGUCCACACCGCAUCAGCAUUCACCCCAAGUCCUCCUCCCAGACUACCAAAUCCCAAGUACUCUACUCUCUCUAAUCAUAUGAUACUCACUAGCAGAUCUCUCAUAACCUCCUCGCUGCUACCUAAACACUCUGAAGUAUUCCUAGCAGCAAGACUCCUAGACUCAGGCAUCACAUAUCAUGUCAUUCUAGUCCUAAUAAGAAUACCUAUUCUACUCUAGCAUGCAUAGCAUAGCUCAUCAUAUAACAUAUCACAUCAUAUCUUAUAACACUUAUCGUAACGGUAUUUUGGGAAAUCACCGUUCGGGCGCUGGCUGUUCGUACACAUGACUAUGCUCUGUUUGUCUCGUAAGUUCUUCUUUUGAAAACUUAUUUUAUUAUCAAAAUUUCCUCAAAUCCUCAGUUUGAGUUCAGAUACGCCCGAAGGUGCACCCGAAUCCCUCAAACCAAGGCUCUGAUACCAACUUGUAACACCGUAAAAAUUAAAACAAUUUUUUUCGCAUUUUCAAACACAUUCUUACAAACUCAUUCAUUCAUAAAAUGUCAUAGUAUCAUGUCUUUGUUUCACAAAACAUCUCCGAAGAUCAAAAUACAUAAAAUCCCAUGUGUGUACGAAUCAAGUCGGCGCCUUCCCGCGGUCAUCACUGGUACCUGAAACACAUAACACAAAGCAUAAGCUUAGUGAGUUCCCCAAAAUAGCACUCUAACACAUAAUAGCCACUCGAGGCUGUAACUCUGUCGACCCUCUGGUCAAUGUAUCUCAGUGGGGCCCUCCAGCCCCAACUCUUUGUAGGCCCUCUGGCCCUAAUUGUAUGGACCUGAAAGUCCCAACUCUGUAACUCUGAAUCAUGCAUAUCACAUAUCACAAUAAAUCUCAACACAUAAAUAACAUGCAAAUACACCGGCAUAUAACUCUAUAGUACUCUGUAACAUAACUCUGUUACCACGCUAGGUAAAGUAUAGUGAGAAGACUCACCUCAAGCAUCUCGGAAAAUCUCUGACUCGGUGGAAAAUAUUGCCUAGCCUCCGCCUAUUCACAUAAAUAAAUACUCUUAUAAAUAUAACCCUCGAGACUAGACUCAACCUGCCAUUGGCACCCUCAGAAGGGUAAAAGACUAUUUUACCCCCCUCUUGACACAAGUACUCCAUUGUUGACCAAACCCUAAAAGUCAACAAAAGUCAACGGUCACACUUUGACCCUACUCGCCGAGUGCACCCUGGUGACUC